UACGAAGGGGGCUAGCGUUGUUCGGAAUCACUGGGCGUAAAGCGCACGUAGGCGGAUUGCUAAGUCAGGGGUGAAAUCCCGGAGCUCAACUCCGGAACUGCCUUUGAUACUGAGGAUCUUGAGUUCGAGAGAGGUGAGUGGAACUGCGAGUGUAGAGGUGAAAUUCGUAGAUAUUCGCAAGAACACCAGUGGCGAAGGCGGCUCACUGGCUCGAUACUGACGCUGAGGUGCGAAAGCGUGGGGAGCAAACAGG
rnacentral:rRNA from 1 species